rnacentral:rRNA from 1 species
GGGGCUAAUACCGGAUAAUACAUGAAACCGCAUGGUUUCAUGAUGAAAGACGGUUUUGCUGUCACUUAUAGAUGGACCCGCGACGUAUUAGCUAGUUGGUAAGGUAACGGCUUACCAAGGCAACGAUACGUAGCCGACCUGAGAGGGUGAUCGGCCACACUGGAACUGAGACACGGUCCAG